UGUGACUUAGUUUAUUUAGAACAAUCAGCUUGCACUUGAUAAGAGGGACAUCUCAGUAACGG
rnacentral:tRNA from 1 species